GGGCGUAGCUCAAUGGCAGAGCGCCAGCCUUCCAAGCUGGUUACGAGGGUUCGAUUCCCUUCGCCC
rnacentral:tRNA from 1 species